UAUUUUAUUAUGUAUUUUUAUGGUACUAAUAUAUCGGCUCCUGUUGUUUUUUUGAGUCGAGGCUCUCCUGGAAACGGUCACUCUAUUCUUCGGGAUAGAAUUAAAUUCUGCCUAUAUAUUAUCCUCCCCACCCCAUAUUUGCGGGAUUAUACUGUAUCGUUGAUGUCGUUGCUGGUUUGCUCUUUUUCGUGCCUCCAUAGGGUUUUCUUUCAAAUUUUCGAAUUGGAGUCCAAAUUGACCCUGCUGAUUAUCCUUUCUUUAAGAGAAUUAAAGAUCCAUGUACAUAUUUCAUAGGAUUCAACACAUUACUGAAGAUCAGAGGAAAUUCUGGUGUUCAAAUCCUGUUUCACAUAAAAAUUUCAGGUUAUGAUUUUCCCUUAUUUUCAACAAGUUGCUCUUUGUGCUGCAUGUGUUAGCUUGGUUGUAUAUUAUUCUGGAAAUAUAAUCUCUUUUUGAUUUUUAGUUUUUGGUUUUUUCAUUUGUUGUUUUGUUGCAGAUUGUAGCUUGGUUCAGUAUCUAUACCAUUUUAAUGCUGGUUGUUUUGUUUGAUUUUUCACGUAUUCAACAAUUUUUCGGAUGGUUGUAGUAUAUGUCUCCCCUAUUAGUUUUUCCUUCUUUUCUUGAUCAGUCUUUGAGUUGCAUCAACUAAUGUUACUCUGUCCCUUUUUCUUGAAAUCAAAUACAUUGGAGAUUAACAGGUAAAAAUCGGAUAAACAUAAGUGGUGAGCUUCUAUUACUUAUGUCCAACUUUAGUUGUGAUAAUUGUGUGAAGGAAGAUUGCUUAUAUUGGCUUUAUAUUUUUCCUAUUGAGAUUCUCACCACUUUUUACUCUUGUAACUUCCACUGAGUUUUUCUUCAUAUAUACUAGAACUAUUCCAAAUGGCAUUUUAUUCACUGAAAAAAGCCUAGACAUUACAUCUCCCAUGCUAAAAAUUCGUAUGAGAAUUAGAGUCACACAUUAUACUGUUACAAAUAUAUACCUCCUCAUUUUCUCUAAAAGUCUUAGGUUACUCAACAACUCCAUGCAGUUAACAAGCCACAAUUUAUAUACAUGAUGAUAGCCGAAAGUGAUUCUUUGGUGGACUGUUGUCAAUUUGUUAUCAUAAUAUUUUGAGAGAAUAUGGAAUCUUGUACUGUGAUGGUUUUAAGAUUUUACUUUUGGUUGCAAAUUAAUACUACCUCUUAUUUAUUGCUUUUAUAACUUGGCUAUAACAAAUAAGUAGCAUCUUUAGAUAAUUUACUGUAUAUAUUAUGGUUACAGGAGAGUUACAUGUCAAACCUCCCAAUGAUGAUUUUCUUUUUUCGUCUAGCCUUGUGCACCGGCCUGCCCUUUUAGAAGUGUUAAGUUCUAGAACUUCAAAGAAGGAUAAUGCUUUCAAGUAAAUGGUCCAAAAGUUUGUUUAAUUGGCUGAUCGAACUGGCCGGCGAACAAUUUACUGUUUCUGAAAAUUUGGCCAUCAAAGAAUACAAAGUGAUAUCAAAAUCAACCACCUCCAAAAGUUAAUGGAUGGCUCUGUAGAGCUUAGCUUUUGACAAGUUGGGAGGGUUGAGUUUGAAACUUUUGAGAAGGUGACCAUGGAAUUGGGAUAACUUGAAGUUUCUUUUGCCAAACAAGUAAGCACUGUAUAACAACCAUCGAUGUACAUUCUUUUGCAUACUGCAUACAAUACAUGUUUUUGGUGAUAUUUAGAAUUUAACUGGAAUAUCUCAUAGUUAUUUUGAAAAAAAUACUCUCACAUGAAUGAGUGCACUAUCUAGGAAGCCAAUGUGGCAAAACAAAAGAAGUAGCUUUAGCAAACAUAAGAGAGCACAGUUUAAUUAUGGCGACUCCCUUAAUGGUACUAGCAUCCUGUUGAAUGUUCCUUGUGGUCAAGAAGAGCAACAAUUUAUGGUGGAAUGUAAUACCCUAUACAAGAAAGUGAAAAACUAUGUCAAUCUAGGGGAAUAUUAUCAGUAGAUGAAAAAGGAAAAGGAGAAAAAACAUAUCUGAGUUGCUUCAGAGUUUUCUUCACUAGAUCGUAGCUUCUUCCGAAGAUGGUAUCUAUUUAUCCUGCAAUCACAGACUUAGGAAUGGGUCCCCUUUGCUGUACAAAUUCAAGCCUCAAUGGCUUUCUGUACAAGCCAUAAACUGGAGAGACCAUUUGAAAGAAGGACAUGCUAAAAGAAAGUAAUAAGAGUCAAUAUGUCACUUAUUUCAUAACGUCUCUCUACAUAAGCUGCUAACAUUUAUUAAAACCAAUACUCACUGUUCUCUUCAAGCAUCUAACAGAAAAAUUCACAAUUAAACAAUGGUUGAAGAGAUUACUAGCUUUCAGAAAGUCAAGAUUCAUUAAGUAGAAAAGCCUCAGGUUGUAAAUUACAUGUUGAAGGUACCAUUGCUAAGCUACACUAUAUCGUGAUAUUAAUCCAGUAUUAUAGUUUUACCGUUGACCCCACUAUUGGGAUUAUACUGGGUUUGUUGUUGUUGUUGUUGUAUAGUUUUUACCGUGGACUGCUUUUUAUUGGAAGUUCAGCCACUAUCCUCAACACAAGUUCAUUUGACGGCCACUGUUAUUGGUAAAGUUCCUUUUCCGUUUUUCUGGUAGGUUCAAAUGCCAUUGAAUAUUUGAUUAUGGUAUAACGUUGAAUCGUAUAGGUGAAAAGGGCUAAUAGCAUGUUCUAAGAUGGUGCACUUCAUGCGGGCGAUGAGUGAUAUUGGAUAAUGGGAGGAAGAAGUAUUAGCAUGUUUCUUUCUUAAAAAAGAAAAAGAAAUUAUAGCAUAUUACAUGAUGAAGUUCAUGCUGAUUAUUGCCACUAGCUCUGUCUGGAAUGAUUUUUUCCUACUAUAUUAUUGCUUAGGUAACUUGCAUAUGGUCCAUGUACCAUAUAAAUAUAAUUUUUCCUACUAUGUUAUUUCUCAACUAACACUUAACUUUGCUGGGGCGGAGAAGGAAAAAGCACAACGAUUUUUUUUUUUGGCUGAAAAGCGCAACGAAAAUUUCCAGCUCUCAUCUUGUGGCUUUGACAACACAACUACCAAUUAAGGUUGAUGAUGUUUGUGGGAGUACAAGUAGAUAUCAUUCAAGAUUAAAUUUUUGCAGUGAAUUGCCAAUGCUAUUCUUGCUGCCACUAUUCUUGCUGCACUUAGUAAAUAGUUUCUAACUUUUAGGGGUGAGAUGAGCAACAACAUUCUGUUAUAUUUCAGCUCUUUACAUGUCCUGUAUAAAAUUUUCACGGCAUUUGGCUUUUUUCUUGCUUGAAUGUAGCAAUAUUGUAGCAAUAUGGGUGUUUCAACUAGGUUAACUAUUGAAAAUUUUCCAUCGUUGAUAAUCUAAGAUUUAGCUAGACUUGGUACGAUAUGUUUUGAUUCUAAUGCUUGAUUUUCUUUUCAUUCAGUGGAUACCAAGAUGAAAGCAUGUGCUGUCAACUGCAGUUGUUAAAAUUUAUUUUUUUUUUCUUUUAAUUGUAGCAUCAAUAUUUGUAUUAGUUGAACCACCACAAACAUGAAUAAUCUAACUGUUUUUGUAUCAAUAUUUAGUCAGCUUGAUGGUAUUGAUUCCUUUUU